rnacentral:rRNA from 1 species
AUGAUUUUAAAUAAUUAAAUGGCUGCGGUAUAAUUGACUGUACAAAGGUAGCAUAAUCAAUUGUUUUUUAAUUAAAAACUGGAAUGAAAGAGUUAAUGAGAUAUACACUGUCUCAUAUAUAUUAAAUUAAUUUAAAUUUUUAGUUAAAAUGCUAAAAUUAAUUUAUGGGACGAUAAGACCCUAUAGAAUUUUAUAUUAAUAUUUUAAUUAUAAUUUUAUUAUUGAAUAUUAAUAUUUUGUUGGGAGGAUAGGUAAAUUUAUUUAACUUUAUUUUAAAUAUUAACUUUAAUUAAAGAAUAUAUUUUGAUCUUUUAGUAAAAAUGAAAAGAGUAAAUUACCUUAGGGAUAACAGCGUAAUAUCUUUUUAAAGAUCUUAUUGAAAAAGAUGAUUGCGACCUCGAUGUUGAAUUAAGAUAAAUUUUAAAUGAAGAAAUUUAAUAAUUAAGUCUGUUCGACUUUUAAAAUCUUACAUGAUUUGAGUUCAAAUCGACGUGAGUCAGAUUG